rnacentral:ncRNA from 1 species
UGAAAUGCGAUGAAGAGAAGAGUAGGUAAAGGAAGCAUUUCCCAGAGAGCUCCGUCCGCUGAAAAGGAGCAUUGAGUCCUUUAUUGAAUAAAGCCUCUGAGCAGCACGCCGGAACCCAAUGUUCAAUGAGAGGAUGGUGUGCCAGGAGCUCCUGUUACAGAGCUAGAGUAUAUGCAUCAGUUGACUGAUGCCGUACUCGAAGAGGCUAAAAUGGCGACAUUUUAGCGAAUCUGGGGUGGUACCACGAGUAUGAUAUCUCGUCCCUAAG